AGUAAAGUGCCUGAAAAUAGGGUUAUUUUGAUAGAAUAAAACAUGUAAAUUUUACCUUUACUG
rnacentral:tRNA from 1 species